GCAGCGCCCAUCCCACCUGGGCAAUGCCUGGCACCCCUCACCUGCAGUGCCACCAGGUUCUCGGAGAGCAUCCUGUAGAGCAUGUCCUUGGCCUCCUUGGCCGGGAUCAUGGCGAAGUCCUCCACCUGCUUCUGCUCCAGCGCCAAGUAUUGAUCCAGCACAGCUUUGCUAAUGUUGUACCCGGCAGGGAGAGACCUGAAAAUCUGAAAAACGGCAGAAAAAAGGUAAAAACCACA